AAUAAUUUCAAUUCUGGAACUUUGGAAAUAUUGUAAAGAAACAAAAAAAUAAAAUACCGAUACGUAAUCAAAUAACUUAUCAUGGAAAAAAAAACUGUUUUUUAAAAAGAUGAUUUUUACAGUUCUAGCCUAAAUUAUUUCAACCUGGUUGAGCAAUCCUUGUCUUAAAGUCUUUCGGCAUAAAGUUGAACAGAAGACCUUUUGGAACCCUUUCUUGAAAUUUCUGUUGUAGGUUUAGAGUGAUCCCCUUUCAUAAAACCAAAAACCUUAAUAAAAUUUCGUUAGUUGUGAUAAUCAUUUUUUGACAAUCAAGAUACACUUACCAUGUCUGGCGAUGAAUGUGCUAAUCCAAAAAUGAUCCUUUUGUUAUGGGAAUUUGAGGUUUCAACUUUAGCAAAGAUGAUUCCAACUUGCAAAUCUGAAUAUAAUGUUGCAGAUGGAUGUUCUUAACAGUUAGAACAAGUACGGGAUACGAACGCACAAGUCAAUAAGCUUACCAUGAAAGUCAUUAAUUAAUUUAUUUAAAGAUGAUACAACAUUAUCCUCGGAAACUAAAAGUUGUGAAGAACGACAAGCAAAACAAGUGUUGCUAAUAUGUUCACCAGUUCCAGAGGUAGCAACAGCACAAGUAGAGGAAUGAGACUUAUUAUCAAAGCUUUCAAUCCAAAAACCAUGCCCUGGUAUCGGAGAAGAUCCGAUCCUCCCUGCUGGUUUAAGUAAUAAUCCUCCACUGCUGCUUACAACGGCAAUUCUACCAUUUUUAUCCACGCAUAUUACGCCAAUGGUAUCUUGCGAAGAGAGAUUGAUUGGAUUUUGGUAAAGGAUUUCUUUCCAUUUUAUUUGAGUUUUCAUAGAUCUCUCAGUUAUGAGAUGUGAUUCUGGAACAAGUUUUAUGUUACUAUGAAGGAGAAGUUUCUCUAUUCCGUUCCCAACAAGCAUUGCAGGAGGUACCAGUCCAUGUUGGCUCAUUACCUUUCUUUUGUUUAAAAUAUAUAAACAUGCUUCUGAAGGAUGCCUACAGCAAUUGCAACAAGCAACACUUGCAGUUAAACCACUUUCAGAAUCCAUGACUCCAGCCUCACACUCAACUUUUCCAUCAAUGUUUAAAUUAGAACCUACACCAGCGUUUGUCACUGGACUAUCCUCCAUAAUUUUUGCUGCCUGAAUAGCAGCAGAUAAGGCAGAUUGGCCAACUUUAAGAGCCUGAAUAGCAGCUUUACAAGCACUGAAAGUUAGUUUAUUAAUAACUUUCAGUAAAUACUUACUCAGAACAGGUUUUUUUGGCUUGGAUUUCCCGUUGACCACUGUAUAAGCCAGCGCCAGCAUGUAAAAUUACCAAGCCAUUAGACAUUAUUGCAGCAAGUAUUUUUGUAUGACUAAGAUAAGUUCUUAAGAUUCCUGUAAUAUAACCUUUAGCAUACUUGUUCAACAACGAGAAGCAGUGUCGUUACGAUCCAUGUGGUGGAAUAGUAAGCGCACCAACGUGUUAGCAGCAAACAUUGUAUUCGAUAACUCAAAGGUUUAUAUUACGAAUUUAUAAUAAUACGUAUUUAUUCUUUGUACACUGUAAAAGCUAAUAAUUACAGAACGUUGGAGAUGAUGCAUACUGACCGGCAGAAAGAGUAGCUAUUAAAAAUCUAAUUAAAAGUUUAUAUUAAUACAUUAGAAUACUUAGGUCAAAAUAAAAUAGCAUUAUGUGCUCAAACGAACGGAUCAGGUUCAUUCAUACCAAUACUGUUAAUUUAUGGUACUAUAAAUUAAACCUUUUUCUCUCUUUUUAAAUUAUUUAAUAACCUUACGGUGAAGUGCCCAUUCAUAAACAGACCAAGUAAUUGUAGAUGAAAUAGAUUUUCGAAGUACACGAAGGAAGAAUCCAUCAAGGAAUCCUCUAAAUCCUUCAUUGGCAUAUACAAGUUUUGCAGAAUGCAAAAAGUUUUUGUAUAUAUGAGGUUCUAAUUGAACACGAGUUUUGAGCAUAUCAAAUGGGUUUGUGAUAGCUGUUGCAGUAGCACCUGAAAUGAGACCCGACAUUACAUUGACAAUAUUGCGAUGCGGCACAGUGCCUUGCACCGAAGAGGAUGGACUGAAUCGAUCAAAGAGUUUAUGCAAGUUUUGCUUAGAAAGUUCAUAAAAAUAUACGUAUAGCCCAGCAUGAGGUGCAUCUCUUAAUGCGGUGACUCCAAAUCCUCUAAAAAAACCAGAUAUACCUUCUUUUUUCCAAAUAU